rnacentral:lncRNA from 1 species
AUGGUUAACCCUUUUUCAGGGAGUGGAACAAUGCAAACAGUGCCUCUCUCUAGAUGGGAACUUUGCUUCAUGGGACAUUACAAAAAGGAAGUCAUAUUUGAAGGGCUAGAUGAACCCUGGCUUCAAGAGGGAGAGCCAUGCAGCAAAGGGUGUGAGGAACAUCUAGGAGCCGAGAGUUCCUACCGGAUGACAACUAGCAAGGAGAGAGAAUACUCAGUUCUUACAACUAAAAGUGAUGUAUCCUGCCAACAAUCACUGAGCUUUGAAGAAAGUCCCAAAUGCCAGAGGAAACCUAUCGCUUGGCUAACACCUUGAUACCAUCUCUUUGCGACCUUGAGAGGAGAAUCCAGUUAUAACAUCCCCAGACUUUUGUCCUACAAAACUGUGGACUGAUAAACUGUUGUCAUUUUAAACCUCUGAGUUUCUAACAUUUUGUUUUCUAAAGUUUUGUCAAACUGUUAAGAAUCACUAUAUUCCUAAAAUUGUACUUAGAAAAUGCAUGAAGUUUGUGUUCCUUAAAUAAAAGGUUUCUUUGGGAAAAAAAAAAUAAUUAU